rnacentral:rRNA from 1 species
AUUGAACGCUGGCGGCAGGCCUAACACAUGCAAGUCGAGCGGAUGAAGGGAGCUUGCUCCUGGAUUCAGCGGCGGACGGGUGAGUAAUUCCUAGGAAUCUGCCUGGUAGUGGGGGCUAACGUCCGGUCACGGGCGCUAAUACCGCAUACGUCCUUAUGGUGAAAGUGGUGGAUCUUCGGACCUCACGCUAUCAGCUGACCCUAGGUCGGAUUAGCUAGUUGGUGGGGUAAAGGCCUACCAAGGCGACGAUCCGUAACUGAUCUGAGAGGAUGAUCAGUCACACUGGAACUGAGACACGGUCCAGACUCCUACGGGAGGCAGCAGUAGGGAAUAUUGGACAAUGGGCGAAAGCCUGAUCCAGCCAUGCCGCGUGUGUGAAGAAGGUCUUCGGAUUGUAAAGCACUUUAAGUUGGGAGGAAGGGAAGUAAGUUAAUACCUUGAUGUUUUGACGUUACCAACAGAAUAAGCACCGGCUAACUUCGUG